AACGAACGCUGGCGGCAUGCCUAACACAUGCAAGUCGAACGAAGCCUUCGGGCUUAGUGGCGCACGGGUGCGUAACGCGUGGGAAUCUGCCCUUUGGUUCGGAAUAACAGUUGGAGACGACUGCUAAUACCGGAUGAUGACGAAAGUCCAAAGAUUUAUGGCCAGAGGAUGAGCCCGCGUAGGAUUAGCUAGUUGGUGUGGUAAAGGCGCACCAAGGCGACGAUCCUUAGCUGGUCUGAGAGGAUGAUCAGCCACACUGGGACUGAGACACGGCCCAGACUCCUACGGGAGGCAGCAGUGGGGAAUAUUGGACAAUGGGCGAAAGCCUGAUCCAGCAAUGCCGCGUGAGUGAUGAAGGCCCUAGGGUUGUAAAGCUCUUUUACCCGGGAUGAUAAUGACAGUACCGGGAGAAUAAGCCCCGGCUAACUCCGUGCCAGCCGCCGCCGUAA
rnacentral:rRNA from 1 species